rnacentral:rRNA from 1 species
UUUUGGCGGGCAUAGCCAUCCGGGGAUAUCAGGUUCGUUUUCGUCCCGGUAGUUUAGUCUGUUCGUGUUUUGUUUGUGUACUAUGGAGUUUUCUAUGGGUAUUUCAUUUUGCUGC